rnacentral:rRNA from 1 species
GACGAACCGUGCGAACGUUGUUCGGAAUCACUGGGCUUAAAGGGCGCGUAGGCGGCUGCACAAGUCCGGGGUGAAAGCCCCCAGCUCAACUGGGGAAGUGCCUUGGAAACUGUGUAGCUCGAGGGAGGUAGGGGUCGUGGGAACUUCCGGUUGAGCGGUGAAAUGCGUUGAUAUCGGAAGGAACGCCGGUGGCGAAAGCGCACGACUGGACCUCUGCUGACGCUGAGGCGCGAAAGCCAGGGGAGCAAACGGG